GCUCAGAGCCAUAUCUAACUAUAGCUCUUGCCUGGUGUCCCACUGAAGCUAAGCAGGGUUGAGCCUGGGAAUUACCUGGAUGGAAGACCUCCUGGGGAAACUAAGGUUGCUGCA
rnacentral:rRNA from 1 species